CCAUGGCAACUGCUGGCUGGAUGACGGAACGUCUGAUUUCGUGGAGGUCCUGCGACCGGAAGUGCCCUGAACAAGGAAUCUGGUUUGCAGUAGCCAUGGAGAAAACGCUGGAAGGGUCACAAUGGGGAAGGAUAAGAAUAAACAUCUCCAGAUUUCAGAGCACAACAGUCUUCAUCCUUCUUCAAACGUGCCCUGGACUGUCUACAAGGAAACAAGGUAUAAAUCGCAGGGUCUCAUCUGAGCUAGUGGAGCACGGGACUCAUUCACAGCAUCAAGAUGGAGCACACACAAGAUGAAACCGACCAUGUUGGUAAAAGAGUAUCACAGACACUGCACAGUAGCGCUCUCCACAUCUCAACAGA